AAAUUUGAGAGUCCAUUGCUCCAACUUUCACCUUCAAACUUGGGUUAAGGCGUAUCAUCGUCAAUUUCUCCAGGGCAUCUUCCUCUAGAGCGGUUAACGAAUCAAAUGAUUGCCUGCAUAUAAAGUAAGCAAAUCUGCAAUGUUCAAAAAAAAUUUGCUUCGUUUGUUAACUUGCUAUGCGAGUCACACGACAUCACACACGCUAAUAUAAAGAAAACAUUGCAUAUUCUCUUGAUUGCUCAUGAAAUCCACAGUCGUGAGAAGAAUGCUAUAACCUCUCAGUUCCCUUGAUCACUACCAGGAGAUAAGGUGUUCAUUGGCGGCAACAAUAGGCACAAUUUUGUUUAAGGUAUGUGAUAUAUAUAUAUAUAUAUAUAUAUAUAUAUAUAUAUAUAUAUACACACAUAUAUAUAUAUGUAUGUAUGUAUAUUCUUCUUUAAGGAGAGUAUGUGGAUGCAGAGUUUUGAUGAAAAUGUAGGAAAAGAACGCAGAGCUCUACCUUCACACGCUUUCUACCGUUUCAUUAUAAAUCGAACUGUGAAAAGCAUGUUUUCUCUCAAAUCCAUUUCAAUAGAAUGCCAACUCAACCACUUUCCUUUUUCAUACCUCAGCUUAACAAGAUACUCCUAAAUUCAAAGAUGAAGAAAUUAUUAUUGAUACAUUUAUCUUAGAAAACAAGCGAAUGGAACUUAAAGCAAAAGUGAGUGGUGGAACGCUCAAUUACCGCUCAUCCGCAGAGCUCAACAUAAGAAUUAUCAUUCUUGUGAAAUCCAUUGCACACCAGCCAACCACUUAUUCAAGUAAUAUCAUUUACUGGAAUACCAACAAACACAAGCAUGACGACACUGCUACAAGGAACAAGCGCUCUGUUCGACCACUUUGUCUGUAAAAAAGCACAUCUGCACCCAUUCGAAGAUAAGAAUGACAUCAAGAGAAGAUGAAAAGGCAUGUCUCCCAUACUCAAACUAUAAACAGUAUUAGAAGAAAAAAACAUCAUUCCAGGGAUUAC
rnacentral:lncRNA from 1 species